UCUCACCAGCUUCUCUGCGUGGAGUUGGCAGAGUGCUCAUUAGGUAUGCCCACUGCGGGCGCUUGCAGGGAGGCAGAGGGAGAGAAAACAUCAGCCAAAGAGUGACGUGGCCACCUGUGUCAGGCAUGCGCCCUCUCAGAAGGAGACCCACAGCCGGAGAUUACGCCCCUCGCUGCUCCAAACUCACCUGCUAGGAGAGGGACGCCUGUAAACCCAAGAAGGAGACCUGAGAACCUGGACUCUGACCCUGAGCGACCGCCAGGAUUCGCUGCGGAGCCCUGAACUUUCCCAUAGUCCUGUUCCAGGGUUCCUCUCACCGGAAGCCACACCCAGGUGUCUGGAGUAUGACCUCACAAGAAUGUGCCUGCCCCUCCAGGAGGGCCUGCUGCUGCGCCUAACCUUCAGAAGGGAUCGGCCAACACUGCACAGGCCUGUGCACGCCCGGAACUCCCGGAAGCGGAGGCGAGAGGACCUAAAGUUCAAGGUUUUCUUUAGCACAUAGUGAGUACCCGGUCGGCCUGAGCUACUUUGAGACCCAGACCCUGUCUUUAAAGGAGAGAGAGGAGGAUGGCAUAGAGUACAAGGCCAUCCUGGAUGUGCAGAGAGUCUGUGUCUCAAAAACAAGCCGGGGUUCAGUGGUGGCGGCGCACGCCUUUAAUCCCAGCACUCUGGAGGCAGAGGCAGGCAGGUUUCCAUGAGUCCGUGGCUAGCCUGGCCUACAGAGUGAGUUCCAGGACAACACAGAGAAACCCUGUCUCCAAAAAUCAACCAACCAAACAACAAGGGCUUACAAGAUGGCCUAAUGGGCAGAGGCCGGAAAGCCUGACAACCAGAGUUCAAUUCCCACCGUCGAAAAAGAGGGAAGUGACCCCUGGAAGUUGACCUCUGACCUCUGCUUGCAGGCUGUGGACUGUGUGGAGCCCCCCACACAAGUAAAUGUAACUAUUCACAAUAACAAGGCGGAGAUGGGGAAUAUAUGGAGAACAUAACAGACGAGGGUGUGGUGAGCUGGGAGAAAUUCAAGUGAUGUCACCAAACAACUCCAGAGCCAGUACUGUUAGUGCCCCGGUUCAAGGACAAGGAAAGACCCCGUCAGAGGCAGAACAAACACCCGAGGCUGCAACGGAUGGAAGGAGCAGUGACAUCUCCAAGGCCUCCUUGGUAGAGACACUUCAGAAACAGCCAUGCUGUAGGAUAGUCCAGAAACCAUCAUACAGCAGCCGAAAUCACUUAAAAGGUCCCUUUAGCCGAGUAUAUGGCUCAGUUAAUAGAGUGUUUGCCUAGCAGGCACAAACCUGAUAAAUUCUGCAUAAACCAGGGGCAGGACUGCUUGUCUGUAAUCCCAGCACUUGGGAGAUGGAGGCGGGAGGAGCAGAACCUCAAACUCAUUGUGGAGAUUUUGAGGCCAGCCUGGGAACCAGGAGAGCAAACACAGAAACAAAUAAAUAAAUGGACAAAAAGCUGAAGCCAGGUGCCUGUAAUCCCGACAUUCAGGGAGACAGAGGGAGAGGAUCUCUGUGAGUUCGAGGCCAGCCUGGUCUACAAAGCGAGUACAGGACAGCCAAGGCUACACAGAGAAUCCUUCUGUCUCAAAAAACAAAACAGCAACAGAAGUGUUUUGUAAGGUCCUCGGCUCCCUGAGCAAGGGCCUGGCAUCCGGUGUGUGUGACUCAUGCCACUUCUCCGAGGCUGGACUGUGGACUGUGGGGAAAUGCCCAGGGCCUUGGUCAUUGGAGUGAGCUGUCCACACAGCAUUUUUCCUUCUGGUUGGCGGAUUUCCUUCCCUUGUCUGAGCUGUUUUAUACCUCGGUAAAUCGCAGGCACUUAUCUACGAGCACAAGGACCUCCAUGCCUUCCUGUUGGAAUCGGCAAAGGAUGCUUAUGAAGGUGGUCCUGAAGAUGGACGUGGUAGCUCACGAAUUGAGUCCCAGCGCUUGGAAUGCAGGACGAUCUCUGUGAGUUUGAGGCCAGCCUGGUUUACAUACUGAGUUCCAGGACAGCCAGGGAUAUGUAGAGAGACCCUCAUAAAGCCGAGGGAAAAAAACGUGGUCUCAAAGAUAGCACACGGGGACAGCCUUGCCAUUCCAGUUUGGGAAGGGAUAUUAUGAUGCUUCAGGAAAGACAAAAGUAACAACACUUCUCAGAAUGUGCACCUCCCACUCAGUGAAACAUGAAUUUGUGUAUAUAUGACUGACAUACACACAUACAACAUAUCUGAUACUUAUGUAAAACGGACACAUGUACAUGUGUGGAACUUGCAUCAAAGCAUGGUGUGAGGCCAGGCACCAUGGUGCUCUGUAUUCCCAGCACUCUGGGAGGCAGAGGCAGGCACAACUCUUGUUGCGUUUGAGGCCAGCCUGGUCUACAAAGUGAAUUCAGAGUAGCCAAAGCUACACAGAGAAACAAACAAACAAAAAACCUGGUAUGUCUGUGCAUGUCUAUAAUCCUGACACUUGGAAGGCAAAGCCAGGAGGCUCAGUUCAAGGCCAGCCUUCACUACUGGGCCCCCAAGUUGUAGCAUCAAACAACUCCAUGUCAAAAAUAAAAACUUCCAUCAUAUCCUACAGGCCCUUCCUUGCUUGUUGGGGGAUGGUCUUGUGCACUGUGUAUUCAUAUGCUAAUUUUUGUGCCCCAAGAUCUGGUCAAGACAUGAGCAUUAUUAUCUCUAUGAAGAAAUUUCCUGUAUCAAUGUCAAGUAAAGAAUGCUCCCCAGUUA